ensembl:lncRNA
UCAGAAAAUAUAUUAGAUUUAUUCUUCUGUCAUACUGACAAUAAUACAUUUACAUUUUAUGAUAUAACAAAGAAUUCACAAAACAACAAACAGGGGACAACAUUAUAAAACGGUCGUGCACUUUGUUCAAAAGAAUGUCUCCUUUCCUUAAUGUGACACGCCCUCCUUCCCUUAAUGUGACACGCCCUCCUUCCCUUGUGAUACGGCCCUCCUUCCCUUAAUGUGACACGCCCUCCUUCCCUUACUGUGACACGCCCUCCUUCCCUUAAUGUGACACGCCCUCCUUCCCUUAAUGUGAUACGCCCUCCUUCCCUUAAUGUGACACGCCCUCCUUCCCUUGUGAUACGCCCUCCUUCCCUUAAUGUGACACGCCCUCCUUCCCUUAAUGUGACACGCCCUCCUUCUCUUAAUGUGACACGCCCUCCUUCCCUUAAUGUGGCACGCCCUACUUCCCUUAAUGUGACACGCCCUCCUUCCCUUGUGAUACACCCUCCUUCCCUUAAUGUGACACGCCCUCCUUCCCUUAAUGUGACACGCCCUCCUUCCCUUAAUGUGACACGCCCCCUUCACUUAAUGUGACACGCCCUCCUUCCCUUAAUGUGACACGCCCUCCUUCCCUUAAUGUGAUACGCCCUCCUUCCCUUAAUGUGACACGCCCUCCUUCCCUUAAUGUGACACACCCUCCUUCCCUUAAUGUGACACGCCCUCCUUCCCUUAAUGUGACACGCCCUCCUUCCCUUAAUGUGACACGCCCUCCUUUCCUUAAUGUGACACGGAGUAAGUGGUAUAAUAUCAGUAACACAGUUGGUGAGCUACACAGUUGCGACCUUGUCUCAUUGCGGCAACUCCAACGGGUUUCUGCUCUCUUGCCAAACUCCUUAUAGAAUCGUGAAUACGUUUGAAACAGAUUGGCACCCAGACUAGAGAAGGACUUAUUGUGACUGAAGUCAGUGAUACCUGAAAAAGGUGUACUGAUGGCUGUGUUUUAGACGUUGUGAUGCAUUGUAAGGAAAUGACGACAGACUGACUGAUCUAUAUAUAUAAAACAGGGAGUAGUUAUUUAAAAAAGAUAAUUUGCAGAUCAGUCAGUCUGAAAUUGAUCGUGAACAUGCCUUAGAAAAAUCUGUAUUCAGUCUCUGGGGCAUUGGAAGCACUGUGGCCGGUUGCCAGAGAUUCAGAACCUGUAUUGAGUCUCUGGGGCAUUGGAAGCACUGUGGCCGGUUGCCAGAGAUUCAGAAUCUGUAUUCAGUCUCUGGGGCAUUGGAAGCACUGUGGCCGGUUGCCAGAGAUUCAGAAUCUGUAUUCAGUCUCUGGGGCAUUGGAAGCACUGUGGCCGGUUGCCAGAGAUUCAGAAUCUGUAUUCAUCUCUGGGACAUUGGAAGCACUGUGGCUGGUUGCCAGAGAUUCAGAAUCUGUAUUCAGUCUCUGGGGCAUUGGAAGCACUGUGG